rnacentral:lncRNA from 1 species
AAUCUUGCGUGUUCUUCACAUGUACCCCAAAACCUAAAAUGCAAUUAAAAGAAAAAAGAAAAAAAAAGUCUACACUCACUUUGAGGAGUUAGUAUCCAACAUGCAUCAAUCUUUAAAUUUGACGACUGUCAUGAAGUCAAGCCUCAGGCGACUACAUGCCCUUGUCUUAUUUCAAAAAACAUUCCACCCCUAUCUCAAUGAUAAGUUAAAAUUAGAAGCAUAACAAAUUUUAUGCCUGUCAUUUGGGGAUCUCCAGCUAUGAUAAGGCAGUGUCGUAAAGGAUGAAUUUUAGGAUAAAUGUUUGGUGUCCGACAUAGCCCCCUACUGAGGAGCCCUGGCUUGGGAGGGGACCAUGGUGUAGCUCUGACAGCUACAGAAGUGUAACCUCUGAGCCAGCAGGGAGCAAUUCAGCAUCGAGGUACCCCCCAACACACACACACACACACACACACACACACACACACACACAGCUCUGCGUCCCAUAUAUUCCCCCACCCAGCCUGCAUUCCCAGCUGGAGAAGGCAAGAGUGAGUCACCUGUCCCUCCUCAUUGCCCAGCUGAGCUGUUGGAGCAGCUACAACCACAGGAACACUCCCGAGAAAGGAGUGUAAUACCUGUGUCCUCAGGGAGGGCUUGGAGGGGUAAAGAAGGAGCCUGGGCAAGGACAGCUCAAUGGAUCUUUGCUUCAAGGACACACCAACACGAUUCAGGAAGUCCAGUGACUGAUCCCUGGACAGCAGGCAGCAGGAAUGACUCCAAACAUACUUUAAAACCAUGGUUUAUAGUCACAGAAAUUUUAUCAAAAAAAAACUUCCUGGAAUUCAAACAUCCAAAAGUGGAUCCAGCUUCAGGCAAAUCUGGACGCUGGGAGCCUGGCAGUGUCAUCAGUCGUUAAGAAGUCCAGAACCAGGGGGAGGACUCAAGAUGGCGCUGUGAGAACAACCCAGGAUUGGAGCUCUCGUUGAAUCCGCAAAGAGGUGAGUCCGAGCUGUAUUUCCAGACUGAUCUUUGUUGCCCACAGAACGGGGAAACUCCCAAGUAUAAAAAAGACACGGGACGCCAGGCAGUAAGUGCCUGGCGAAGCCGGCAGCCGGGGCGAGGCGGCGGCCGGCCCUACCCAGCAAUCCCCACAGGGCGCACUUGUCCAGGUGCCCUGUUGAACUGGCAACCUGAGACUUGAGAGGGCUGGACUUGAGACU